rnacentral:tRNA from 1 species
GCCUCGGUAGCGCAGAAGGCAGCGCGUCAGUCUCAUAAUCAAAAAGGAAUUUGUGCGAUCUGAAGGUCGUGAGUUCGAGCCUCACCCGGGGCA